GAGGGAUCAGGAGAGAACGGCCCACACAACAGGCCUCUCUUUGCUUGUGAGAGUCACUCGGGAGGCCUGGGAUCAAACCUGAGUUUCCUUCUUGCGAGCUGGGUCCAUGGAUAUGUCCCUUCUGCUCUCAGGUCCUGGCUUCUCAUGGGUAGCUGUGGGAAGAACUUCUUGGCCUGCUUUGCCGCUGAAGGAGAGCACCAUUCCCUGGGGGCCAUUGGUGGGAUGUGAAGGCCUGGAAGCUGCUCUCAGAGCCCAAGUCCUCGUGGCCUUCAGGAGAGAAGCCAGGGCUCCCUGUCCCUAUUCUUCAUUCAGAAAGCUCAGGCUCCCAGCCAGGAACCUUCUUGGGGCCUGCUCCAUCUUUCCACAUGGCUCCAUUGCAGUUUUCAGUUCCGUGGGGAAAACAACAGCCAUUCCCCCAUAUGUGAGGCCUCUUCCUUUCCUGACGAAAUAGAGACAAGGAUGAGUCAGCCUCUCCCAACCUCCAGGAUCUCCAGUCGUCCAGUGACUCAGAGGAUGGUCUGUUUCGUGGGUAAGUGCUCCUCCCAGGAAGUUGGCAGCCCUAGCCACCCCCUACCUCAGUCACCCCCCC
rnacentral:lncRNA from 1 species